ACAAAGUAUUGCAAUAUAAAGAUGGUGGGAAAUAUGAAGGAGAGCUCUUCUGUGGAAUGAGAGAAGGAAUGAGGAUAAUGAUGAAGGAGCCUGGAUUCUAGACAAGUGUCAAGGUCAUGGAAUAUUGCCUUGUGCUCUUGGAACAGUAUAUGAGGGGCAGUGGAGAAAUGACGUAUUCAAUGAACGGGGUGCUAUAGUUAAUUGUUCUGGUGACAUCUGUGAUGGACUGUGGAUCAAUGGUUACC